ensembl:lncRNA
AGGAGCUCCAAGAGGCCCAUCUUAGAGGUGGCUCCUUGGCUCUUCCCUGGAGAGGGAACUGUGUCAAGCCUGCUUGCUCCAGUCUGGGGAAAUCUGGCCUCUUUUCCGCAGCGCCUCUGUGCUGCGUCGGGAGAAACUCCGAGGACUCCAGCCACUCCCCAGGCCUCUGGCUGGACCGAGAGAUGAAAAUAACCAAGGGGUUUGGAUGUUCCCCGGGGAGACCGUUCUGAGGCCAAGCCCAGAAACAGACAGAUCCACGGAUCCACAGAUCAGACGGGAUCCACGGAGGACGCCCCAGCCUCCGUGGUCAUGGGAGGUUGGUUUGGAAGCAAGAUGAGCGAGUUGGCCCCACGCCCUGGGUUCCAGUUUGGCGUUAGUCACAGGAUGCUUCGCCACGGGUGAUACCGUGAUUAGCAAAUAAAAGACAGCCCACGUUUGGGAGGCAUUUGCUUUAAUUCGGGGCCUCCGGCAGGCAGACAGCCCUUUGUGCCUGCUUGCUGCACACCCCGCCCUCGUCUGGGGCCAAGUUGCUAAUUUAUGUCCUUGCCCUUUAAACGCUCUCCCCUCCCCCCACUCUGAACCGGAAAAAAGUUUCAUCUCUACUAAAAUGUUACAGCUUCAAGUCUUCCCCCCUGGUUUUCUGCUAGUGUUCCUUGCUUUGAUCUGCUGCUGGAAAUUUAUUUCCCUCCCAGAGCUGAGGCGUCCAGCUUGGAGCAAUGCAGAGGCACCUCCGUCCCUGAAGCUGAUGGGCGCCCCCCUUCCUACCCCCAGUUCUGAGGCUGCAUCUUCUGUGCUAACCAGGCACAGGGCUCAGAAGGUGGACAGGAAAGAGAAAGCCAUCCUGCCUGCACUCCUGGGCUUAUUCCCUGUACGUGGAGAUAGGAGAGCACACGUUAAUGAUAAUAUUAGCAGACGAAGUCAGGAACAGAGUUCAGGCCUCCCUGUCGUGGCUCAGCAGUGACAAAUCUGACUAGUAUCCAUGAGGAUGUGGGUUCAAUCCCUGGCCUUGCUCAGUGGGUUAAGGAUCCAGCGUUGCUGUGAGCCGUAGUAUAGGUCACAGAUGAGGCUCGAAUCCUGCGUUGCUGUGGCUGUGGUGUAGGCUGGCAGCGUGGCUCCGAUUCAACCCCUAGCCUGGGACUCUCCAUAUGCUGUGGGUGCGGCCCUAAAAAGGGACAGAAAAGAAACGAAAAAAAGAAACCAGAGUUCCCUGGCGUGUGCACAGCUGCUCCCUUGCCUUCAUUGGUGUAGGAGGAAUCUCUCUGGCGAGCUUGAUCCCUGGCCUUCACUGUGGAGAAGCACUCUGAGCAAUGGGCAGAGGGCCCGAGCUUGGAGUGGCCUGCAGGGCUAAUUUUAGGAAGGAGAAAGGCUGGUCCUGAGGAUGUGUGCAUGAGUGACUGUGGGUCUGCCUGUCUUUUGGGGAAGGAUGUCUGCAGGGCCGAAAGACCCAGCCCGCGAGGCGUAGAGGAAUUUAGAGUCCUCUGGAGACAGGAGGAAGGAGACUUGGGCUUUGGCUGCUGCUGUGAGUCAGAUUGAAAGGGAGAGUUAAGUUUGCUGUGUGUUAUGAAUGAAGUGCUCUUCCUCCUUUUCAAAGGUAUUUUAGUGGAGUUCCCAUCAUGGCCCAGCAGAAAUGAAUCUGACUAGCAUCCAUAAAGACACAGGUUUGAACCCUGGCCUUGCUCAGUGGGUUAAGGAUCUGGCGUUGCUGUGAGCUGUGGUGUCGGUCGCAGAUGCGGCUCAGAUCUGGUGUGGCUGUGGCGGAGGCCAACAUCUGCAGCUGCAUUUCGACCCCUCACUUGGCAACUUAUGUAUGCCACGAGUGUGGUCCUAAAAAGACCCCCCCCCAAAAAAAAAGAUAUUUUAGUGAAGAUCUGGUUGCUUUUUUUUUUUUUCUUUUUAGGGCGCACCUGCAGCAUAUGGAGGUUCCCAUGCUAGGGGUUUAAUCUGAGCUACAGCUGCUGGCCUACACCACAGCCACAGCAACACCAGAUCUGAGCCUCAUCUGCAACCUACACCACCGCUUACGUCAAUGCUGGAUCCUUAACCCACUGAGCGAGACCAGGGAUCGAACCCACAACCUCAUGGUUCCUAGUUGGAUUCGUUUCCGCUGCAUCACAGCAGACACUUGCCAGUUGUUUUUAAAACAAUUUUGGUGGUACAACCGCUAUGGAAAACAGUGUGGAUGUACCUCAGAAAACUCAAUAUAGAACGACCAUAUGACCCAGCAAUCCCACUUCUGGGCAUAUAUCCGGACAAAACUUUCAUUGAAAAAGAUACAUGCACCCCUAUGUUCAUGGCAGCUCUGUUCACAAUAGUCAAGACAUGGUAACAACCUAAAUGUCCAUCCACAGAUGACUGGAUUAAGAUGUGGUAUAUAUACACAAUGGAAUACUACUCAGCCAUAAAAAAGCAAGCAACAUGGAUGGAACUAGAGACUCUCAUACUAAGUGAAGUAAGUCAGAAAAAGAAAGGCGAGUACCAUAUGAUAUCACUUAUAUCUGAACCUAUCUACAGAAAACAAACAAACUCAUGGACAUGAAGAACAAACCUAUGGUCGCCAAGGGGGAGGGAGAGGGAAUGGGAUGGACUGAGAAUGGGGGCUUAGUAGAUGCAAAUUAUUGCAUUUGGAGUGGAUAAGCAAUGAGAGUCUCCUGUAUAGCACAGGGAACUAUACCUAGCCACUUGUGAUGGAAUAUGAUGGAGGAUAAUGUGAGAGAAUGUGUGUGUGUGUGUGUGUGUGUAUAGUUGGGUCACUUUGUUGUAUAGCAGAAAUUGACAGAACAUUGUAAGUCAACUAUAAUAAAUUUUUUUAAAAAAGCGGUUUUGGGAAGAGUUCCCGUUGUGGCUCAGCAGUUUGAGGACCUGACACUGUCUCUGUGAAGAUACGGUUUUGAUCCCUGGCCGUGCUCAGGGUUAAGGAUCUGGAGUUGCCAUGGCUGCGGUGUUGAGCUGCAGCUCUAAUUGGACUCCUAGCCCAGGGACUUCCAUAUGCUACAGGUGCAGC